AACGCGAAGAACCUUACCCGGGCUUGAACUACGGAUGGUAAGUCCCUGGAAACAGGGGCUGACCCGCAAGGGAGUCCGCAGAGGUGCUGCAUGGUUGUCGUCAGCUCGUGUCGUGAGAUGUUGGGUUAAGUCCCGCAACGAGCGCAACCCUUACUCAUAGUUGCUACCCGCAAGGGAGAACUCUAUGAGGACUGCUCCGGAUAACGGAGAGGAAGGUGGGGAUGAGGUCAAGUCAGCAUGGCCUUUAUGUCCAGGGCUACACACGUGUUACAAUGCGCGCUACAGAGCGUUGCAAACCCGCGAGGGGGAGCUAAUCGCACAAAAGCGCGCUCAGUUCGGAUUGCAGUCUGCAACUCGACUGCAUGAAGCCGGAAUCGCUAGUAAUGGCGCAUCAGAACGGCGCCGUGAAUACGUUCCCGGGCCUUGUACACACCGGACACGC
rnacentral:rRNA from 1 species